rnacentral:rRNA from 1 species
UACAGAGGUGGCAAGCGUUGUUCGGAAUUAUUGGGCGUAAAGGGCGCGUAGGCGGCUUGAUAAGUCAAAGGUGAAAUCCCUCGGCUCAACUGAGGAAUUGCCUUUGAAACUGUCUGGCUCGAGGCCGGGAGGGGGUAGCGGAAUUCCCAGUGUAGCGGUGAAAUGCGUAGAUAUUGGGAGGAACACCGGUGGCGAAGGCGGCUACCUGGACCGGUUCUGACGCUGAUGCGCGAAAGCGUGGGGAGCAAACAGG